GCUGGCGGCGUGCCUAACACAUGCAAGUCGAACGAGAAAGUGGAGCAAUCCAUGAGUAAAGUGGCGACCGGGUGAGUAACACGUGACUAACCUACCUCCGAGUGGGGAAUAACUCCGGGAAACCGGGGCUAAUACCGCAUAACACCGCAAGGUCAAAGCAGCAAUGCGCUUGGAGAGGGGGUCGCGGCUGAUUAGCUAGUUGGUAGGGUAACGGCCUACCAAGGCGAAGAUCGGUAUCCGGCCUGAGAGGGCGCACGGACACACUGGAACUGAAACACGGUCCAGACUCCUACGGGAGGCAGCAGUGGGGAAUUUUGCGCAAUGGGGGAAACCCUGACGCGGCAACGCCGCGUGGAGGAUGAAGCCCUUUGGGGCGUAAACUCCUUUCGACUCGGACGAUAAUGACGGUACGAGUGGAAGAAGCACCGGCUAACUCUGUGCCAGCAGCCGCGGUAAUACAGAGGGUGCGAGCGUUGUUCGGAAUUAUUGGGCGUAAAGGGCGCGUANGCGGUGCGGUAAGUCACCUGUGAAAUCUCCCGGCUUAACUGGGAGCCUGCAGGCGAAACUACCGUGCUGGAGUGUGGGAGAGGUGCGUGGAAUUCCCG
rnacentral:rRNA from 1 species